CCUACGGGUGGCAGCAGUGAGGAAUAUUGGUCAAUGGGCGAGAGCCUGAACCAGCCAAGCCGCGUGAGGGAGGACUGCCCUAUGGGUUGUAAACUUCUUUUGUCCGGGAGCAAUAAUUGUCACGCGUGGCCAGAUGAGAGUACCGUACGAAUAAGCAUCGGCUCACUCCGUUCCAGCAGCCGCGGUAAUACGGGGGAUGCAAGCGUUAUCCGGAUUUAUUGGGUUGAAAGGGGGCGUAGGCUGGGAGGUAAAGCAGCGGUGAAAUGCCCCGGCUCAACGGGGUGAAGUGCCUUUGAUACUGGCUUGCUGGAGUGCGGAAGAGGUGGGAGGAAUGCGUGGUGUAGCGGUGAAAUGCAUAGAUAUCACACAGAACACCGAUUGCGAAGGCAUCUCGC
rnacentral:rRNA from 1 species